rnacentral:rRNA from 1 species
AUUGAACGCUGGCGGCAUGCCUUACACAUGCAAGUCGAACGGCAGCACGGGAGCAAUCCUGGUGGCGAGUGGCGAACGGGUGAGUAAUAUAUCGGAACGUGCCCAGUCGUGGGGAUAACGUAGCGAAAGCUACGCUAAUACCGCAUACGAUCUAUGGAUGAAAGCGGGGGAUCGCAAGACCUCGCGCGAUUGGAGCGGCCGAUAUCAGAUUAGGUAGUUGGUGGGGUAAAGGCCUACCAAGCCGACGAUCCUUAGCUGGUCUGAGAGGAUGAUCAGUCACACUGGAACUGAGGCACGGUCCAGACUCCUACGGGAGGCAGCAGUGAGGAAUAUUGGACAAUGGGCGCAAGCCUGAUCCAGCCAUGCCGCGUGCAGGAAGAAGCAUCUAUGGUGUGUAAACUGCUUUUGUACGGGAAGAAACACUCCUACGUGUAGGAGCUUGACGGUACGUAACGAA